AGUGAACGCUGGCGGUAGGCCUAACACAUGCAAGUCGAACGGCAGCACAGUAAGAGCUUGCUCUUACGGGUGGCGAGUGGCGGACGGGUGAGGAAUACAUCGGAAUCUACUUUUUCGUGGGGGAUAACGUAGGGAAACUUACGCUAAUACCGCAUACGACCUACGGGUGAAAGCAGGGGAUCUUCGGACCUUGCGCGAUUGAAUGAGCCGAUGUCGGAUUAGCUAGUUGGCGGGGUAAAGGCCCACCAAGGCGACGAUCCGUAGCUGGUCUGAGAGGAUGAUCCGCCACACUGGAACUGAGACACGGGCCAGACUCCUACGGGAAGCAGCAGGGGGGAAUAUUGGACCAUGGGCGGAAGCCUGAUCCAGGCAUACCGCGUGGGUGAAGAAGGCCCUCCGGUUGGAAAACCCUUUUGUUGGGAAAGAAAAGCAGCAGGGUAAUACCCCGCUGUUCUGACGGUAACCAAAGAAUAAGCACCGGCUAACUUCGUG
rnacentral:rRNA from 1 species